UAAAAGUUAAAAUGCUUUUGGAACAUUUACAAGGCGAUUUAGGUUCUCAUUAUUCCUUUUUUUGUAAAAUGACGUGUUGGUAUCCACUUUGAAUAACACUGAUACAAGCACAUCAAACAGUUACGGUACUUGGCCAGAUUGAAAGUUAGAAAUUGCAACCAAAACAAUUAAAUAGCAAGGAUUUAUUUUUAAUGAAUGUCGAUAUUUAGAUUGGAUAUAAUUCGAUACUAUACCAUGGAGGGAAACGUAAUAGUUCUCGAGAGAUAAAAAGAACGAAGUUUGUAGUCGUAUGAGCCGCUCAUAUUUCACCUGGUCCUCCAGUCCCGGCUUGAGAGCGAAAGCCAGAGUUUGAUUGGGGUAACGAGUUUAAAGUACCAGAUACUUUGACGUUUCACUGUUACUGCCAUUUCCAGUGGUUACACGGUUGGACAUGUUUUGAUGUGUAAAUGACAAAAUAAAAUAUCGAAC